rnacentral:rRNA from 1 species
UGGGGAAUUUUGGACAAUGGGGGCAACCCUGAUCCAGCAAUGCCGCGUGUGUGAAGAAGGCCUUCGGGUUGUAAAGCACUUUUGUCCGGAAAGAAAACGCCGUGGUUAAUACCCGUGGCGGAUGACGGUACCGGAAGAAUAAGCACCGGCUAACUACGUGCCAGCAGCCGCGGUAAUACGUAGGGUGCAAGCGUUAAUCGGAAUUACUGGGCGUAAAGCGUGCGCAGGCGGUCCGCUAAGACAGAUGUGAAAUCCCCGGGCUUAACCUGGGAACUGCAUUUGUGACUGGCGGGCUAGAGUAUGGCAGAGGGGGGUAGAAUUCCACGUGUAGCAGUGAAAUGCGUAGAGAUGUGGAGGAAUACCGAUGGCGAAGGCAGCCCCCUGGGCCAAUACUGACGCUCAUGCACGAAAGCGUGGGGAGCAAACA